rnacentral:rRNA from 1 species
CGGCGUGCUUAACACAUGCAAGUCAAACGGAACUGUUUUCAUUGAUUCUUCGGGAGAUUUUUUCUGUUUCUUGAGGGGGAGAGGUGAGUGUCGCGCGGGAAACCCCCCUCUUCCUGAGGGAUAUCACCCACAGAUGACAGCUCUUACCCCUCAUGCUCACACAGACGCGUGUGGCCUUGAGAAAACCUCCGGUAGGUACAAGAUGAACCCCCGUUGUAUUAUCUAUUUGGCGGGGAGGCGACCUACCAACGCGACAAUCCUCAGCCGGCCGAAGGAGAUGAACAGCCACCUUGUUACUAAUACAACGCCCACACUCCUACGGGAGGAAGCAGCGGGGAAUAUUGCUCGACGGGGGAAACCCUGAUGCACGCGACGCCGCGAGAAGGAAGAAGAAUGUCGGCAUGUUAACUUUUAUCAUCAGGGAAGAUAAUGACGGUACUUGAUUAAUAAGCUCCGGCUAACUACGUGCCAGCAGCCGCGGUAAUACGUAGGGAGCAAGCGUUAUCCGGAUUUACUGGGUGUAAAGGGAGCGUAGACGGCUCAGCAAGUCUGAUGUGAAAUGCAGGGGCUUAACCCAUGGACUGCAUUGGAAACUGUUGAGCUUGAGUGCAGUAGGGGUAAGCGGAAUUCCUAGUGUAGCGGUGAAAUGCGUAGAUAUUAGGAGGAACACCAGUGGCGAAGGCGGCUUACUGGACGGUAACUGACGUUGAGGCUCGAAAGCGUGGGGAGCAAACAGGAUUAGAUACCCUGGUAGUCCACGCCG